rnacentral:rRNA from 1 species
GAUGAACGCUGGCGGCGUGCUUAACACAUGCAAGUCGAACGGGAAACCUUUUAUUGAAGCUUCGGCAGAUUUAGCUGGUUUCUAGUGGCGGACGGGUGAGUAACGCGUGGGUAACCUGCCUUAUACAGGGGGAUAACAGUCAGAAAUGGCUGCUAAUACCGCAUAAGCGCACAGAGCUGCAUGGCUCAGUGUGAAAAACUCCGGUGGUAUAAGAUGGACCCGCGUUGGAUUAGCUGGUUGGUGGGGUAACGGCCCACCAAGGCGACGAUCCAUAGCCGGCCUGAGAGGGUGAACGGCCACAUUGGGACUGAGACACGGCCCAGACUCCUACGGGAGGCAGCAGUGGGGAAUAUUGCACAAUGGGGGAAACACUGAUGCAGCGACGCCGCGUGAAGGAAGAAGUAUCUCGGUAUGUAAACUUCUAUCAGCAGGGAAGAUAAUGACGGUACCUGACUAAGAAGCCCCGGCUAACUACGUG